GAUGAAGAACGUAGCGAAAUGCGAUACGUAAUGUGAAUUGCAAAUUCAGUGAAUCAUCGAGUCUUUGAACGCACAUUGCGCCCCCUGGUAUUCCGGGGGGCAUGCCUGUCCGAGCGUCAUUGCUGCCCUCAAGCACGGCUUGUGUGUUGGGCCCCGUCCUCCGAUCCCGGGGGACGGGCCCGAAAGGCAGCGGCGGCACCGCGUCCGGUCCUCGAGCGUAUGGGGCUUUGUCACCCGCUCCGUAGGCCCGGCCGGCGCUUGCCGAUCAACCCAAAUUUUUAUCCAGGUUGACCUCGAAUCAGGUAGGGAUACCCGCUGAACUUAAGCAUAUCAAUAAGCGGAGGA
rnacentral:misc_RNA from 1 species